rnacentral:rRNA from 1 species
ACCAGACUCCUACGGGAGGCAGCAGUGGGGGAUAUUGCACAAUGGGGGGAACCCUGAUGCAGCGACGCCGCGUGGGUGAAGGAGCGUUUCGGCGCGUAAAGCCCUAUCGGCAGGGAAGAAGGAGGACGGUACCUGACUAAGAAGCCCCGGCUAACUACGUGCCAGCAGCCGCGGUAAUACGUAGGGGGCAAGCGUUAUCCGGAUUUACUGGGUGUAAAGGGGGCGCAGACGGCAGCGCAAGCCAGGAGUGAAAGCCCGGGGCCCAACCCCGGGACUGCUCUUGGAACUGCGCGGCUGGAGUGCAGGAGGGGCAGGCGGAAUUCCUAGUGUAGCGGUGAAAUGCGUAGAUAUUAGGAGGAACACCAGUGGCGAAGGCGGCUUUCUGGCUCAUAACUGACGCUGAGGCGCGAAAGCGUGGGGAGCAAACAGGAUUAGAUACCCCCGUA